UAAAGAAUGAGCUAAGAGUGGCUGAAGAGACGUGCGUGAAUACAGGAAUCUGUUUUCUCCACGGGUAAUGGAAGAAACUUGAUGAGAAGUAACUUCCCUCACGCAAGAGUAGACAACUCAAAUGGGGAUCUACAGAAACCAACCUUGUCGUUUGUGUGCUGCUAAGAUGGACCCAGGAGAUUCACACUCACUUCAGAGAAAAUGUGGGCCAAGAAGAACUUUCUAGGGAUCUAGAAGAAAAGAGGGGGUUCUGUUUGGAACCUGUGAGAAGGAAGGCCCACUGAGAACAUAUUUGUGAAAUCUGGCCCCAAGGAAUGUUGCUGCUAGGCCACUGGAAUCGGAUCCUGAUGAUAAGCACAGACAUCAUUUUCAUUCAUCACCCCACCUCCGAUCUCAACAUAGCACCCGGCAUUUAGUAAGUCCUACAUUAAGUAUGUGUUGGGUGAAUGAAGGAAUAUUGGUAUUUGAAGACAGAAGUACAACAUUCUGAUAAAAAAGCCAGAAGCUGGGAAAGAGAUGGGGCCUCAGUUGUGACCGGGCCUCCCACGCAGAGAUGCGGGCCUCGACCUGGGGACUGGUGAUCACUUUCUGGGCGGGAAGCUCCCCAGCUCUUAUCACAGAACCCCCAGCUGGCCUGUCCUUCCCCGUGGUCUCCCCAGCUGACCACGUCUUUGGAAGUUCUGCUUCUCUGUGACCUGAGUGCAUUCUGGCCACUGUGCUAUGGCCUCCAGGCCCACGAAGUGCGUGCAUGUACAUGUGCUUCCAUCUACGCAGGCGAAACAAAACUCUUAGAACAUGGACGUUUCUGGCAAAAAUGACUGCUUUUCCUUCAUUAGCUUUUUUCCUUUGUCCGUUAGUAAUAAAAGAAUGGGAAUAAUGUAAUGAGAGUGAGUGAGGUGCCGAUGGAUGUCUGUUAGCUGGGGCUCUUUACUGAGCUUGCUUGACAUGGUGGGGGAUGGGGAGUGGUGCUUUUAAAUAUUAAUGCAACUCUUCACGAAGGGUCCUUUAAGAUCAUAUAAAACAAGAAUUUGGCUCAGUCUUCAUAAGAAAUUUUUUAAACAUCCUCCGAACAGGAAUUCCUUCCAUUCAAUAGGCAUCUUCCCCUCACCCACGAUCGCCCAGGCAAAAUUUAUAAAAGGUGCAUUCAAGUUCCUUCCCAACUGUGCAUACUAACAGUCUUAGCCAUCUGAA